UGGGGAAUUUUCCGCAAUGGGCGAAAGCCUGACGGAGCAACGCCGCGUGUGGGAAGAAGGCUCUUGGGCUGUCAACCACUUUUCUCAGGGAAGAAGAUCUGACGGUACCUGAGGAAUCAGCCUCGGCUAACUCCGUGCCAGCAGCCGCGGUAAUACGGAGGAGGCAAGCGUUAUCCGGAAUUAUUGGGCGUAAAGCGUCCGCAGGGGGCGCAUCAAGUCUGCUGUUAAAGGCUGGAGCUCAACUCCGGUAGAGCAGUGGAAACUGGUGCGCUAGAGGGCGACAGGGGUAGAGGGAAUUCCCAGUGUAGCGGUGAAAUGCGUAGAGAUUGGGAAGAACACCGGUGGCGAAAGCGCUCUACUGGGUCGCACCUGACCCUCAGGGACGAAAGCUAAGGUAGCGAAAG
rnacentral:rRNA from 1 species